GAUGAACGCUGGCGGCGUGCUUAACACAUGCAAGUCGAACGGAAAGGCUCCUGCUUGCCGGGGUCCUCGAGUGGCGAACGGGUGAGUAACACGUGGGUGAUCUGCCCUGCACUUCGGGAUAAGCCUGGGAAACUGGGUCUAAUACCGGAUAGGACCACAUUUUGGAUGGUGUGGUGGAAAGUUUUUCGGUGUGGGAUGAGCUCGCGGCCUAUCAGCUUGUUGGUGGGGUAAUGGCCUACCAAGGCGUCGACGGGUAGCCGGCCUGAGAGGGUGUACGGCCACAUUGGGACUGAGAUACGGCCCAGACUCCUACGGGAGGCAGCAGUGGGGAAUAUUGCACAAUGGGCGCAAGCCUGAUGCAGCGACGCCGCGUGGGGGAUGACGGCCUUCGGGUUGUAAACUCCUUUCGCUAGGGACGAAGCGAAAGUGACGGUACCUGGAGAAGAAGCACCGGCUAACUACGUG
rnacentral:rRNA from 1 species